CAAUAGCGUAUAUUAAAGUUGUUGCAGUUAAAAAGCUCGUAGUUGAACUUCUGGCUUCAAUUUCAGCUGGCUUCGGUCGCUGAAAGUGGGGUCAUCCGCUUGGGAACUACGUUCGAACUUCAUUGUUCGGCGUAAGGAACAGGCAUUUUACUUAGAAAAAUUAGAGUGUUCAAGGCAGGCUAUCGCCCUGAAUACACAAGCUUAGAAUAAUGAAAUAGGACUAAAUUCAUUUUAUUGGUUAUUGGAUUUAGUAAUGAUUAAUAGGGACAGUUGGGGGCAUUAGUAUUUAAUAGUCAGAGGUGAAAUUCUUGGAUUUAUUAAAGACUAACUUAUGCGAAAGCAUUUGCCAAGGAUGUUUUCAUUAAUCAAGAACGAAAGUUAGGGGAUCAAAGACGAUUAGAUACCAU
rnacentral:rRNA from 1 species